GAUGAACGCUGGCGGCGUGCCUAAUACAUGCCAGUCGAGCGAACGGACGAGAAGCUUGCUUCUCUGAUGUUAGCGGCGGACGGGUGAGUAACACGUGGAUAACCUACCUAUAAGACUGGGAUAACUUCGGGAAACCGGAGCUAAUACCGGAUGAUAUUUUGAACCGCAUGGUUCAAAAGUGAAAGACGGUCUUGCUGUCACUUAUAGAUGGAUCCGCGCUGCAUUAGCUAGUUGGUAAGGUAACGGCUUACCAAGGCAACGAUGCAUAGCCGACCUGAGAGGGUGAUCGGCCACACUGGAACUGAGACACGGUCCAGACUCCUACGGGAGGCAGCAGUAGGGAAUCUUCCGCAAUGGGCGAAAGCCUGACGGAGCAACGCCGCGUGAGUGAUGAAGGUCUUCGGAUCGUAAAACUCUGUUAUUAGGGAAGAACAUAUGUGUAAGUAACUGUGCACAUCUUGACGGUACCUAAUCAGGAAGCCACGGCUAACUACGUG
rnacentral:rRNA from 1 species